GGUCAAGUUAUUAAGGGUGCAGGGCGGAUGCCUUGGCACUAGGAGCCGAUGAAGGACGUGAUAAGCUGCGAUAAGCUUCGGGGAGUUGCACGUAAACUUUGAUCCGAAGAUUUCCGAAUGAGGAAACUCACUUAGAGUAAUGUCUAAGUAUCAUUAAGUGAAUACAUAGCUUAAUGAGGGGAACUCAGGGAACUGAAACAUCUAAGUACCUGAAGGAAGAGAAAGAAAUUCGAUUCCGUAAGUAGCGGCGAGCGAACGCGGAUUAGCCCAAACCAAUAAA
rnacentral:rRNA from 1 species